GAUAAAUCCUUUGUAGACGACUUAAAUACAAAACCAAGUGUUGUAAGCAUGAGAGUAGUCUUUGCACUACGAUCUGCUGAGAUUUAGCUUGUGUUUUACGAUUU
rnacentral:ncRNA from 1 species